rnacentral:rRNA from 1 species
GACGAACCGUGCGAACGUUAUUCGGAAUCACUGGGCUUAAAGCGCGUGUAGGCGGGCCGGCACGUCGGGCGCUGAAAUCCCCCGGCUCAACCGGGGAAGGGGCGCCGAUACGACCGGCCUGGAGGGGCGUAGGGGGAUCGGGAACUUCCGGUGGAGCGGUGAAAUGCGUUGAGAUCGGAAGGAACGCCCGUGGCGAAAGCGCGGUCCUGGACGCCUGCUGACGCUGAGACGCGAAAGCCAGGGGAGCGAACGGG